GUGAAUCAUCGAAUCUUUGAACGCAAAUUGCACUCUCUGGGAUUCCGGAGAGUAUGCGUGUGUGAGGGUCAGAUUAAAUAAAAAUCGGUGUGGUUGCUGCCUUUCGUGGUGACGCACCGGAUGUGGGUCGUCUUGCCUGCGUUUAAGUGACCUAAAAUUUUGCAUGAUUUUUUCGAACGUAUUUAAAUGAUUUUACGUACGUUUCGGUUAUCGAAUACUAUUUUCUGUCAUCUUCAUGA
rnacentral:misc_RNA from 1 species